rnacentral:rRNA from 1 species
UAGAUAGAAAGAUUAAACUGAAGAGUUUGAUCAUGGCUCAGAUUGAACGCUGGCGGCAGGCUUAACACAUGCAAGUCGAACGAUGAUUAUCUAGCUUGCUAGAUAUGAUUAGUGGCGGACGGGUGAGUAACAUUUAGGAAUCUGCCUAGUAGUGGGGGAUAGCUCGGGGAAACUCGAAUUAAUACCGCAUACGACCUACGGGUGAAAGGGGGCGCAAGCUCUUGCUAUUAGAUGAGCCUAAAUCAGAUUAGCUAGUUGGUGGGGUAAAGGCCCACCAAGGCGACGAUCUGUAACUGGUCUGAGAGGAUGAUCAGUCACACCGGAACUGAGACACGGUCCGGACUCCUACGGGAGGCAGCAGUGGGGAAUAUUGGACAAUGGGGGCAACCCUGAUCCAGCCAUGCCGCGUGUGUGAAGAAGGCCUUUUGGUUGUAAAGCACUUUAAGCAGGGAGGAGAGGCUAAUGGUUAAUACCCAUUAGAUUAGACGUUACCUGCAGAAUAAGCACCGGCUAACUCUGUGCCAGCAGCCGCGGUAAUACAGAGGGUGCGAGCGUUAAUCGGAAUUACUGGGCGUAAAGCGAGUGUAGGUGGCUCAUUAAGUCACAUGUGAAAUCCCCGGGCUUAACCUGGGAACUGCAUGUGAUACUGGUGGUGCUAGAAUAUGUGAGAGGGAAGUAGAAUUCCAGGUGUAGCGGUGAAAUGCGUAGAGAUCUGGAGGAAUACCGAUGGCGAAGGCAGCUUCCUGGCAUAAUAUUGACACUGAGAUUCGAAAGCGUGGGUAGCAAACAGGAUUAGAUACCCUGGUAGUCCACGCCGUAAACGAUGUCUACUAGCCGUUGGGGUCCUUGAGACUUUAGUGGCGCAGUUAACGCGAUAAGUAGACCGCCUGGGGAGUACGGCCGCAAGGUUAAAACUCAAAUGAAUUGACGGGGGCCCGCACAAGCGGUGGAGCAUGUGGUUUAAUUCGAUGCAACGCGAAGAACCUUACCUGGUCUUGACAUAGUGAGAAUCCUGCAGAGAUGCGGGAGUGCCUUCGGGAAUUCACAUACAGGUGCUGCAUGGCUGUCGUCAGCUCGUGUCGUGAGAUGUUGGGUUAAGUCCCGCAACGAGCGCAACCCUUUUCCUUAUUUGCCAGCGGGUUAAGCCGGGAACUUUAAGGAUACUGCCAGUGACAAACUGGAGGAAGGCGGGGACGACGUCAAGUCAUCAUGGCCCUUACGACCAGGGCUACACACGUGCUACAAUGGUAGGUACAGAGGGUUGCUACACAGCGAUGUGAUGCUAAUCUCAAAAAGCCUAUCGUAGUCCGGAUUGGAGUCUGCAACUCGACUCCAUGAAGUCGGAAUCGCUAGUAAUCGCAGAUCAGAAUGCUGCGGUGAAUACGUUCCCGGGCCUUGUACACACCGCCCGUCACACCAUGGGAGUCUAUUGCACCAGAAGUAGGUAGCCUAACGUAAGAGGGCGCUUACCACGGUGUGGUCGAUGACUGGGGUGAAGUCGUAACAAGGUAGCCGUAGGGGAACCUGCGGCUGGAUCACCUCCUUAA